ensembl:lncRNA FLJ40194 uncharacterized FLJ40194
CCCGGAGGCUCCGGGAGCGCCAGCUAAGAUGAGAAACAGGAGGAACAGGAUGUAUGUAACUUGCCCAAGGUCACAGAGCCAAGAGGUGGCUGAAGCCAGACUUGAACCCAGGCAUUCAGCUAAGAAACUGCAUUCUUAAGCAAAACAUCACAAGACCUGCUCUAGAGAAAGUGUUCCUGCCUCCUGCUAGGCAAGGUGAUGCCCUAGGGGAAAGGAAGGAGGAGAAAGGGGAAGUGCUGCAAUGAACCUCAGAGGCUGGAUCUUGCUGACUCAUCUGGGGUACCAAGGACAGACAAAGGACAUGGAGUCCAGGCCCAGGAGGCGAUACCAGGCCAGCAGUUUCACUGAUGCUCCUGUCAUGACGAUGACUGCCUCCCUCCUCCCCUUGGUCCCUGACUCAGUGUCUGCAGUGACCAGGCACCAGGCAGGGAGCAAGGAACCAAGCCUUUCACCUGCUCCCACCAACUCCUAUGGUGCUCCCUUUCCAAGGCUAGGUCUCCUCUCCACCCAGUUCCUUAUCACGUACCAUGAGAAGCUGUCACCUUGGCAACUGUCACCUUCUGGUGAGAUUUACAAUUGCACUGCUACAACUGCUUGUGGCAUGGUAAAGUUGCACCAGGACCUCUGCUGUCCAUGAGAUCAAAGUUCCAGGCCAAGGCACCAGGGGCACGAACAGUGUUGCCCGCAUGGAACUCACACUUAAUGGGAGCGGCAGCCAACAGGUAAAUAUAUAGAAUGCCAUAUGAUGAUAGAUGCUAUGAAGAACAUAAAGAAGGGAAGGUGUGUUGAGAGCGGAAAGGGUGCUGUUUAACAAAGGGCAGUUGGAGAAUGCCUCCCUGAUCAGGUGUUGAGCCCAGUGAAGGAAAGAAAUGAGGGAUCCAGCCAUACAAGUGCCUGGGGGAAGAGCCUUCCAGCAGAGAGACCAGCAAGUACUCAGGAUGAUACCCGGCAAAUUCUUCAAAGCAGUGUUCUCCAACUUGAAUGUUUGUGAUGUGGGCGAUUCUGACUGAGGGGGUCUGUAGACCACAUCUUGAUAAACAAUGCUUUUUAAAAAAUUCCUAGAAGAGAAUAUUUGAUUUCUGGAAGGAUAGAGAAGAAACUAAUAAGAGUGUUUACCUCCGAGGAGGAGGAGAAUUGGGAAGCUGAGAGCAGAGGAGGGAGGAAGACUUACUUUUCACCGUGUUCUUUUUUGUACCUUUUGAGUUUUGUACGACAUACUGAAUCUUUGACCCAUUUGCAAUUAUAAAUAAAGGCACAUUUAUUUGGC